UACGUAGGGUCCAAGCGUUGUCCGGAUUUAUUGGGCGUAAAGAGCUCGUAGGCGGUUCGGUAAGUCGGAUGUGAAAACUCAGGGCUCAACCCCGAGACGCCAUCCGAUACUGCUGUGACUUGAAUCUGGUAGGGGAGCACGGAAUUCCUGGUGUAGCGGUGAAAUGCGCAGAUAUCAGGAGGAACACCGGCGGCGAAGGCGGUGCUCUGGGCCAGUAUUGACGCUGAGGAGCGAAAGCGUGGGUAGCAAACAGG
rnacentral:rRNA from 1 species